UACGAAGGGGGCUAGCGUUGCUCGGAAUCACUGGGCGUAAAGCGCACGUAGGCGGAUCUUUAAGUCAGGGGUGAAAUCCUGGAGCUCAACUCCAGAACUGCCUUUGAUACUGAGGAUCUUGAGUCCGGGAGAGGUGAGUGGAACUCCGAGUGUAGAGGUGAAAUUCGUAGAUAUUCGCAAGAACACCAGUGGCGAAGGCGGCUCACUGGCCCGGUACUGACGCUGAGGCACGAAAGCGUGGGGAGCGAACAGG
rnacentral:rRNA from 1 species